rnacentral:rRNA from 1 species
UCGAACGAGAUCUAUCUUCGGAUAGUGAGAGUGGCGAAAGGGUGAGUAACACGUGAGAAACCUGCCCCUGAUUUUAGGAUAGCCCAUAGAAAUGUGGAUUAAUACCAAAUGAUCUUCAGUUGCGCAUGUAACUGGAUGUAAAGUUUUUCGAUCAGGGAUGGUCUCGCGCUCCAUCAGCUUGUUGGUAAGGUAACGGCUUACCAAGGCUACGACGGAUAGGUGGUCUGAGAGGACGAUCACCCACACUGGGACUGAGACACUGCCCAGACUCCUACGGGAGGCUGCAGUCGAGAAUCUUCCGCAAUGCGCGAAAGCGUGACGGAGCGAUGCCGCGUGCCGGAUGAAGGCCUUCGGGUCGUAAACGGCUGUCACUCGGGAUGAAUACAUGACAGUACCGAGAGAGGAAGCCACGGCUAACUACGUGCCAGCAGCCGCGGUAAUACGUAGGUGGCGAGCGUUAUUCGGAUUUAUUGGGCGUAAAGGGUCCGCAGGGGGUAAGAUAAGUUUGAUGUGAAAUCUCGAGGCUCAACCUCGAAACUGCAUUGGAUACUGUCUUACUAGAGUACUGGAGAGGUAAGCGGAAUUCCUGGUGUAGCGGUGGAAUGCGUAGAUAUCAGGAAGAACACCGAUGGCGAAGGCAGCUUACUGGACAGUCACUGACCCUCAUGGACGAAAGCCGGGGUAGCGAAAAGGAUUAGAUACCCUUGUAGUCCCGGCCGUAAACGUUGUAUACUAGAUGUGAGCAGUUUUGACCCUGUUCGUGUCCAAGCUAACGCGUUAAGUAUACCGCCUGGGGAGUACGGCGGCAACGCUAAAACUCAAAGGAAUUGACGGGGGCCCGCACAAGCGGUGGAGCAUGUGGCUUAAUUCGAGGCAACGCGAAGAACCUUACCUGGGUUUGACAUAUACAGGACUACCCAU